rnacentral:rRNA from 1 species
UACGUAGGCAGCAAGCGUUGUUCGGAAUUACUGGGCGUAAAGAGUGUGUAGGCGGUGCUCCAAGUCUGGUGUGAAAUCUCCCGGCUUAACUGGGAGGGUGCAUUAGAAACUGGAAUGCUAGAGGAUGGGAGAGGUAAGCGGAAUUCCUGGUGUAGCGGUGAAAUGCGCAGAUAUCAGGAGGAACACCGGUGGCGAAGGCGGGUCUCUGGGCCGAUACUGACGCUGAGGAGCGAAAGCGUGGGGAGCGAACAGG